rnacentral:rRNA from 1 species
AACGCGAAGAACCUUACCUGGUCUUGACAUCCACGGAAGUUUUCAGAGAUGAGAAUGUGCCUUCGGGAACCGUGAGACAGGUGCUGCAUGGCUGUCGUCAGCUCGUGUUGUGAAAUGUUGGGUUAAGUCCCGCAACGAGCGCAACCCUUAUCCUUUGUUGCCAGCGGUCCGGCCGGGAACUCAAAGGAGACUGCCAGUGAUAAACUGGAGGAAGGUGGGGAUGACGUCAAGUCGUCAUGGCCCUUACGACCAGGGCUACACACGUGCUACAAUGGCGCAUACAAAGAGAAGCGACCUCGCGAGAGCAAGCGGACCUCAUAAAGUGCGUCGUAGUCCGGAUUGGAGUCUGCAACUCGACUCCAUGAAGUCGGAAUCGCUAGUAAUCGUGGAUCAGAAUGCCACGGUGAAUACGUUCCCGGGUCUUGUACACACGC